GUCUGUCAAAAAACGUUCCCAGGCACUUCAUCUGUAAAGGUCCUGUACUGGGUCCUGGAGACUCCUGGCCUUGAGGAGCCCACAGCUUGGUGGGGGAUGGAUGCAUAGAGAGCCAAUGACCACAUAGUGUGAACAUGGGAAGGUCAGAACUGAAGAGCCAGCAACAAAUGCUAUCUGAGCCAUCCUUGGGAGGACAGGGGAGACUUUCUGCAGGAGGUGAUAUAUAACCUGACAUCUGAGCUAUGGAAUCUCCUACAUCCUCAUAGCACUCCUUUAAGGUGGCUAACAAAUUUUUCCAGCAACACAGAGCUGAGAGGAUUGGGAUCUCAGAGAAGAAGGAGCCCUGCAUUCUUGGCUUCAUCUGCCUGGAGUGGAGUUUCCAUCAUGCUGAGCUGGAGGUGCACGGGGCCAGGGAAUGAGCAAGUCGUAGCUCAAAUGUCCCAGACUCUUACUAUUCUUAUUGAAAUUUAGUAGGUUUUCUUGAAUAAAUGUUUCUUCAUCUGCUGUAUGCCCUUAGGACAAUUCCCAGGAACAUACAUCUAUAUUGAUAUCAAUAUAAAUAUAAAUAGAUAAUUAUGUAUGUAUAACUUUAGCAGUUUUACUUGUUCUGCUGGAAAGAAGGUCUGGAAGGUUUGCAGAGCUGCUCAUGCCACCAUUCCAGAAGUUAUCCACCAGUUCAUUGCUUUUUGCACAGUAGUAUUCCAUUGCAUGUCUAUGCCACAAUUUGUUUAUCCAUUCACCUGUUGAUGGACAUUUGAGCUGUUUCCUGUUUGAGGCUAUUACAAAUAAAGCUGCUUUACAAAUAAAGCUGCUUUGAACAUUUGUGUAUAAGUCUUUGGACAUAUGCUUUGAUUUAUCUUGAGUAAAUAUCUAGAAGUGGAGUGGCUGGGUUAUAUGGUAGGUUUGUGUUUUAAUUUUUAAGAAGCUGCUAAGAUGUCUUCCAAAGUGAUUCCCCCAUUAUGCACUCCUGCCAGCAGUGUGUGAGAGUUCCAGUUUCUCCAGAUUCUCACCAACACCUGGUAUGGUCAGUCUUUUUAAUGUUAGCCAUUCUAAUAGAUGUGUAGUGGUAUCUCAUUGUGGUUUUAAUUUUCAUUUUCCUAAUAGGUAAUGAUGUGUUUGAGCAUUUUUUCAUGUGCCUAUUUACUAUCCAUACACCUACUUGGUGAAAUAUCUGUUCAAAUCUUUUGCCUCCUUUCUUUUUUCAUAAUUGGGUGGUUUGUUUUCUUAUUAUUGAGUUUUGAGAGUUCUUUCUAUAUUGCAGAUACAAAUUUUUCUUGGAUAUGUGUACUGCAAUAGUUUCUCCCAGUUAGUAGCAUGUCUUUUCAUUCUCCUAACGGUUUCUUUCAAAAGGCAAAUGUUCUUAAUUUUGAUGAAGUCCAAUUUACAAAUAU
rnacentral:lncRNA from 1 species